GACGGAGGGGGCUAGCGUUGUUCGGAAUGACUGGGUGUAAAGGGCGCGUAGGCGGUGUUUUAAGUGAGGCGUGAAAGCCCUGGGCUCAACCCAGGAGGUGCGUUUCAUACUGGAAUACUAGAGUGCGAGAGAGGAAAGUGGAAUUCCUAGUGUAGAGGUGAAAUUCGUAGAUAUUAGGAAGAACACCAGUGGCGAAGGCGGCUCACUGGCCCGGUACUGACGCUGAGGCGCGAAAGCGUGGGGAGCAAACAGG
rnacentral:rRNA from 1 species